rnacentral:lncRNA from 1 species
CUCUCUCUCUCUCUCUCUCACAGGGACAUCAUGUUUCAGUCAUGAAGUUUAGGUGGAGCAUGUGAGCAAGGAUUGAGGAUGACUAGACAGGCUGGGUGGUCUCUGCAUCCAGUCUGAUAGGAUCCACACCACUCCACUCUCUUUCAUUUCCACCAAGGGAGGCAGUGAACCACAUAUCACGCAGGACGUGCUGUGCUGGUGGCGUAAUGUCGAUGGAAGUGCCUCUUUGUAUCCCUGCCCAGCACUUUAUUGAACACAUGAAGGUGCUCCAGAGUUUCAAGAAGGGAGUGGCACACACUUUGCUGCACUCCAAGCUUUUGGAGGUCGAAUAACACACUUCACACUGCUUUCUUAUGCAGAGUGCAAGACAGAAAGAGGCAAGGCUGGAGGAUGCUUCAGCAUUCACAACAUCAUUGGUUCAUACUUUUUUUUUUGUGGAAAGUAGUUCACACAGUUUUGACUGAAAGAUUAUGUCAUCAUUCACAUUCACAGGUUUCAUGACUUAACAUUGCAAGUGUAUGUUUAGCUACAAUGAGUAUUGGUUUAUAGAAUUUGUAAUGUAUAAAAGUGACUUAUAAGAUCUUGCAUUAUGAAGAUUUGUUUAAAGGACUUUGUUUAUUAGCAUGAUCUAGUUGCAUCAUUCUUAACACUCAAGAUUAUACAGACAUGAACCAUUUGCCCAUUGCACUUCCUGCAGAUGAAAUUUCAGUCAACACUUGUGUGUCUGUGUGUGUGCAGCUUUGUGGGGAAGUGUGCCAGUCAUUCCUUAAUGUCAGUGUCUUUCAUUUAUGGGCAUAAAUGAUGUGUGUAAUUAGGUUUAUAUACAUUUUUGAGUGAGGAUAUUUAGACUGAUUAAAUAGUACGCUUUUCAACUUUCUACAGCUUUGCUAUUACUGUUCUGUGUAAGAUUUCAGGGACCAUAUCCUACAAACCGUCAUAGCUAAUGACAAGAUUGUAGUGAGACACAAAAACACACAAGUCCCUCUAUGGCAGGCUCUAACCUUUAGACUUGUGCCAAUAAGGGUUCACCUGUUGUAGUGCUCCCAACUGCCGUCUUAAAACUCUUGUCAACAUGUUGGGAAUUUGGCUGUAUGUACCAUAGCAUAAUUCCCAACAGUUUUUAUUAGUAAUCAAUUAUAAAUAUCCAUAAUGAUGACUAAAUAAGGUCCUCCUUUGAUGCAGUUAUUUAUCAUUAUAGAUGAUUGCCAAGAGGGGUACAACCAGUUUUCCGCAAACUCAAACCUUGCCCUGUGUGGCCUGAAUGUGUCAUGUGUCGGGCGUAAUCUUCUCCUGUUUGUCAUGUUUCUUUUGUUUGGAUACACAUUCUAAUUAGUCCCAAAGUAGUAGUAUGAUGUCAAAAUAAUUUAGAUUGUAGAGCUAUUCGUUUCUAUACAUGUAUAAAGUAAACAAAUAACGAGCCUAAAGACCAAUAAUGGAGUGACAGUUAGGCAUUCAGUGAGACCUGAGGCUAACUGUGUAGAAUGCAACCCCACAAUGGUAAUUUGUUUUUUUGUAUUAAUAGUAACAAUAUAAUGUUGCAAGGGACAACAUGCUGAUUGAGAGCAAUGCCAUUGUGAAAUGCUUAGAAAAUUAUUAUUAUUAUUAUAUAUAUAUAUAUAUAUAUAUAUAUAUAUAUAUAUAUAUAUAU